GACAUUGCAUGUCAUGGUAUACAAGAUAUGUCAUUUUCAAAUCAACACUGAACAAUGAGUAACAUAAAAUAUAUAUGCUCUCCCACCUGAGAGCACUGGCGGACCCAAGGGGUGGCCUGGGGGGUCACGUCACCCCCCCAACUUUUGGAUUUUUUUUGUUUUUGUUUUUGUUUUUACGACCAUUGAUUUUUUCAUGUUUUUAUCUCAAUUUUCAAAAUCAUUACGGAAUAUCAAACAAAGUCAAAAUAUUGUUUUCUUAAUGUCAUUUCGAAGUACUCAGGGCCUAGUUUUCU
rnacentral:lncRNA from 1 species